rnacentral:rRNA from 2 species
AGGGGGAAGAAGGACCAACAGGGAUUGCCCCAGUAACGGCGAGUGAAGCGGCAACAGCUCAAAUUUGAAAUCUGGCCCCAGGCCCGAGUUGUAAUUUGCAGAGGAUGCUUUUGGCGACGCGCCUUCCGAGUUCCCUGGAACGGGACGCCAUAGAGGGUGAGAGCCCCGUCUGGUUGGAUGCCGAGCCUCUGUAAAGCUCCUUCGACGAGUCGAGUAGUUUGGGAAUGCUGCUCUAAAUGGGAGGUAUAUGUCUUCUAAAGCUAAAUACCGGCCAGAGACCGAUAGCGCACAAGUAGAGUGAUCGAAAGAUGAAAAGCACUUUGAAAAGAGGGUUAAAUAGUACGUGAAAUUGUUGAAAGGGAAGCGCUUAUGACCAGACGUGGGCUCGGCGGAUCAUCCGGCGUUCUCGCCGGUGCACUUCGCCGGGUCCAGGCCAGCAUCGGUUCGCCGCGGGGGAGAAAGGCGUCGGGAACGUGGCUCCCUCGGGAGUGUUAUAGCCCGUCGCACAAUACCCUGGGGCGGACCGAGGUUCGCGCAUCUGCAAGGAUGCUGGCGUAAUGGUCAUCAGCGACCCGUCUUGAAACACGGACCAAGGAGUCGUCUUCGUAUGCGAGUGUUCGGGUGUCAAACCCCUACGCGUAAUGAAAGUGAACGCAGGUGAGAGCUUCGGCGCAUCAUCGACCGAUCCUGAUGUUCUCGGAUGGAUUUGAGUAAGAGCAUACGGGGCCGGACCCGAAAGAAGGUGAACUAUGCCUGUGUAGGGUGAAGCCAGAGGAAACUCUGGUGGAGGCUCGCAGCGGUUCUGACGUGCAAAUCGAUCGUCAAACAUGGGCAUGGGGGCGAAAGACUAAUCGAACCUUCUAGUAGCUGGUUUCCGCCGAGGUUCCUCCUCCCGGAAAGGAAAAC